AGGUCUCGCGGGAGGGCGCGGGUCUCGCGGGAGGACGCAGAAUCCCGCCCGCGCCCGCGCGCCUCGGGGGCGGCGGGGGUGGCGGCGGCCCGUCCCUUCUGCAGCCCUGCGCGAGGCCUCGGCGCUCCCCUCCUGCCCCGGAGUCCCGUGAUCCUGGAAGUCCUGCGGGGCCAUCCUGUGCUUGAAGAUAAACACAGCCCCCCACCCUCGGGGUGAGAAUCCCAGAGUUCUGAUUUUCUCGGACGAUGACUUAGAUGAGGGUGUCGCGGCUUCUCCUCUUCCCUCUUCUCUCCUUCCUCCAGUGUCAGAUUCUUUCAGGACGUUUAUUUCCCUUGGUGUCCCCGUUCCGGACGUGGCUGAGCUCACCGCGGGCCCUACUCACCUGCUCUGUUCUAAGAGCUUCGUCUGCCAUUUGGCGCUGGCCCCAUCCUGGCUCUCAGCAAAGAGCUUCCAGCCCACCAGGUUCCUGUGUCCAUGGGAUUCUCCAGGGUUUAAAAUGAAGGCAUUUCCUCACCUGUAAAGUGACUAGAAGAUUGCCCAGGUCCCUUCCAACAACUGCAGACUGUGUCAUCGGCUGGAUUUGGGCCCGAGCUGGACUGUGUGCAGCCCUCUCUCAGGAACACCUCUGUCUUUCCUGCCUUGAGCUUAGUUUCUGUCUAGAAAGUUGUAAGAGUUGAGACAAUGAGAGGAGGCUGAGGAGCUGUUUGCUCCCCUGAAUCAGGGGUUCGGAUCCAGUUGAGGGAUGCGGGGGUGGGGAGGAGAAGGUUCAGUCGAUGCCUAGACCUGACACAUUAACCCCUGGAUGAAUUAUUUUCACUUCUGUGAAAAAGGCUUUGGCUAUGGCUUCACGGAGAAGCCCGCCGCAUCGUAAAACCACCGGUGUCACGAGCUGUCUUCUGGAGAGUGGAAACGGGCAGGAUGUGGUUUGAACUGACAGAAAGAUGAGGCAGUGCGUUCCUCCUUGGGGAGCUUGGAGCGACCAUCAGGGGCAAGAACCAGAGGCUGCGACUUUCUGACUUGGAGCCAACAGUCAAUUCAGGAUCAGGGAAACCAGUUGCUUAGUGCCAAGGUGUUCAAAAAACAACAAGGAAACAUACACACACAACCACUACAGAAAACAAAUCAGCUAACAAUAUUUCUCAUUUUCACGAGUAAAACUUUGCAUCUCUAACAGCACCUUCUCUGGUGGCUCAAAUGGUAAAGAAUCCACCUGCAAUACAGGAGACGCAGGUUUGAUCCCUGGGUCGGGACGAUCCCCUGGAGGAGGAAAUGACAACCCACUCCAGUACUCCUGCCUGGAGCAACCCAUGGACAGAGGAGCCUGGUGGGGCUACAGUCCAUGUGGUCGCAAAGAGUCAGAUAUGACUGAGCAACUAACUCUUACCUGCUUACUUACGCAGCAGCUUACACACUUUAAGACACUUUCAAAUACGUGUAACGCUUGACGUAACCUACGGAGAAACACACAGUCGUGUUGAUAUUCCUAUUUUCUGGAUAAAAACAUUGAACAGGGCCUAGUUAUGAAAACGGAAGUUUCAAAGCAGACCAGGAAUCCAGGACUCUUGAUCCUCGAUCCAAACCUGGUGUCUGGUGCUUCUGAAUUCAUGUAAACAG
ensembl:lncRNA